rnacentral:rRNA from 1 species
AUUGAACGCUGGCGGCAUGCCUUACACAUGCAAGUCGAACGGCAGCACGGGUGCUUGCACCUGGUGGCGAGUGGCGAACGGGUGAGUAAUACAUCGGAACGUACCUUAUCGUGGGGGAUAACGCAGCGAAAGCCGUGCUAAUACCGCAUACGCCCUGAGGGGGAAAGCGGGGGAUCGCAAGACCUCGCGCGAUUAGAGCGGCCGAUGCCUGAUUAGCUUGUUGGUGGGGUAAAAGCCCACCAAGGCGACGAUCAGUAGCUGGUCUGAGAGGACGAUCAGCCACACUGGGACUGAGACACGGCCCAGACUCCUACGGGAGGCAGCAGUGGGGAAUUUUGGACAAUGGGGGCAACCCUGAUCCAGCAAUGCCGCGUGAGUGAAGAAGGCCUUCGGGUUGUAAAGCUCUUUUGUCAGGGAAGAAACACCGGCUCUAACACAGUCCGGGAAUGACGGUACCUGAAGAAUAGGCACCGGCUAACUACGUGCCAGCCGCCGCAGUAA